CCCAGACUCCUACGGGAGGCAGCAGUGGGGGAUAUUGCACAAUGGGGGGAACCCUGAUGCAGCGACGCCGCGUGGGUGAAGGAGCGUUUCGGCGCGUAAAGCCCUAUCGGCAGGGAAGGAGGAGGACGGUACCUGACUAAGAAGCCCCGGCUAACUACGUGCCAGCAGCCGCGGUAAUACGUAGGGGGCAAGCGUUAUCCGGAUUUACUGGGUGUAAAGGGGGCGCAGACGGCAGCGCAAGCCAGGAGUGAAAGCCCGGGGCCCAACCCCGGGACUGCUCUUGGAACUGCGCGGCUGGAGUGCAGGAGGGGCAAGCGGAAUUCCUGGUGUAGCGGUGAAAUGCGUAGAUAUCAGGAGGAACACCGGUGGCGAAGGCGGCCUGCUGGACUGCGACUGACGUUGAGGCCCGAAAGCGUGGGGAGCAAACAGGAUUAGAUACCCUAGAACA
rnacentral:rRNA from 1 species